UACAGAGGGUGCAAGCGUUGUUCGGAAUUAUUGGGCGUAAAGCGCGCGUAGGCGGCCCCGGUAAGUCCGCUGUGAAAGUCAAAGGCUCAACCUUUGAAUGUCAGCGGAUACUGCCGGGCUAGAGUCCGGAAGAGGCGAGUGGAACUCCUGGUGUAGCGGUGGAAUGCGCAGAUAUCAGGAAGAACACCAACGGCGAAGGCAGCUCGCUGGGGACGGAACUGACGCUGAGGCGCGAAAAGCGUGGGGGGAGCGAAACAGGG
rnacentral:rRNA from 1 species